ensembl:snoRNA
AUAGCCCUGAAUCCAGACCAGUGGUUUGCUAGCUGUUGGUUUCAAACAGGAGCCAAGAGUAAUGUGUUUCUGUGGUCUGUAAGCCAUUCAGCACCCCAGUGGGAGUGGCUUUCAGUUGGAAUGAACACAG